GCAGUCGCCGCGGUAAUACGGAGGGAGCGAGCGUUGUUCGGAAUUACUGGGCGUAAAGGGUGCGCAGGCGGCUUUGUAAGUUGGGAGUGAAAUCCCUGGGCUUAACCCAGGAAUUGCUUUCAAAACUACAAGGCUAGAGUCUCGGAGAGGUUAGCGGAAUUCCCAGUGUAGAGGUGAAAUUCGUAGAUAUUGGGAGGAACACCAGUGGCGUAAGCGGCUAACUAGACGAGUACUGACGCUCGGGCACGAAAGCGUGGGGAUCAAACAGGAUUAGAGACCCCGGUAGUCCCUGUCUCUUAUAA
rnacentral:rRNA from 1 species